rnacentral:rRNA from 1 species
CGACCCCAGGUCAGGUGGGGUUACCCGCUAAAUUUAAGCA